ACAUGGUGUCUGUUGGCAAAUAGUUCAAGGUGUAGAACUUCUUAUAUUGUUCCUCCGUGUUGUCACAGUUGUGGUAGUUGCCAUCUUUAUCAUGUUUUCUGGUUGUCUGAGACAGUGACAAGUCAUGCCACGUCUGUCAUCUGUGGUUUGUGUUUGCGGUUGCCAGUUUCCCACCUUCAGCCUCUAACACUGCAGGGCUUUGCUGACUGCAUGGCCUGUCUUGCAUCUCUGCCAUCCCUUCUCUCAUGGAAUGCUGUUUGUGGGUGGCACCUUGUUAAAGUGUUCCUCAGUGCUCAGUGGAGAUUUGUGGAUGUGAACAGAUAGCGGUGUCCGUCUGUGAGAAGGCAGAAAUGGGCGGACACUUGGCCUGUGCCAGAGCUGAUCAGCUGAUUAGAUCCAUUAAACUUCCAUCUUUGUUCUCUCUAGCCAAUGGAAGACCCCCUCCUAUAUGUAGACACCUAAACCAAGAUUGCUGCUGUCAUACCGUUGUCCUACAAGUAUCUGAAGGAACGGGAUUGAAGAACUGGGGCAAACCUGGGCAAAAACAGGUGGCAUGAUGCUCCAGCAGGAUCCCACAUCCUGAAUGUUAGCUGUCCCCAUUGCUGCCUGUUUUUAAUUUAUUUAUUUGUUUUAGACCCUAUGUCACUCCUGCUUGCUCAUCUUUCACCUCACCUUGCACUGUCAUUGUCCACACACUUUAGCAUGCUGCUGGGAAGGCCCUCUCAACAUGUACCCCUUUUACAGUGUUUUUUUUUUUAACAUUUGUUUCAAAGUGAGAGGAGAGCUUUCUGGAUCUUGUAUGUUUUUUGAAGACUAAGGUUCUAUGAAGAUGACAAUGCUGCUUUUUCAAUAGCUAAUGGCUGCGCUAUUUUGACACGCUGCCCCUUCCGUUCACCCAAAAGGCUUCAUCAUUAUGGGUUGAAUCUGUGCUCUGCUGUUGCCAUUGGAGAAAAAUUAACACGUUGCCUUUUGACUUUAAUCGCUUUAAUUUCGCCAAACAAUCAUUUACUGGACUCAAACCUGUCUUUAAAUGAUGAAACAAAGUGAUGUUACAGUAGACUUGGGGUGAGUGCAAUAACUGUAAGUAUUCCACAAUCCUAGAUCUGACUUAGGGUUUUUUUUUCCAGUCUGUCGCCCAAAGCCAAAGGGAAUCACAUGGGUCAUAUGACUUUGCUGCACUAGUGAGAAACUAAAGCUGUGCCGAGUUCCAUCAUCCAUGCUGUGAAUGCACUCUUGUUAGUCAUACAGCAUGGAUUGCUGGGAUGGAUGGGUUAAUGUGUAUCACUGUCUACAGGCAUGUUUUGACACAGGGUUCGGCCCCUCACAUAGUUGUGUACUAGUACUGAGUGUGAAUGUAUAUGCAGUGAAUCUACCUGCGUUUAUAGAAAACCAGACAUGAUUGAAAUACUACAGUAUGAAUAGACACCAGGGUUGGGCAGAUAGCUGAUAUAUACGGCAUGCUAUUGGUAUGGUUUCCAUACCAAAAAAGUUCUUUAGUGAAUUUAAGUGUGUGUGUGUGUGUAUUAUGGCAAACAGUGACAUGCAGUCAGCUUGUGGACUAGUUGCAAGUGGAACCUGAGCUACUGGUAGACAGAAUGCUCUUUUUCUUUCUGUUAUAUUCACCUGCACUGACUAGGCUGACGUUGGCAUUUUUUUUGAAAGCGGAUUGAACAGCUAAGGGAGUGAGCAAAGUACUGUUCAGCACCACAUGCAACCAACAGUGUGUGGGGAUUGAAGUGCACAUAAUCACUUGCUGUGGUGUAACAACAGAGGCAGUAACACACAAAUGUAAUGUCCCUUCCCUCAAGCAGUUGACUAUGCAGGAAGCAAGUUUCAUCAGAAAGUGGGAAUAUUGUCAAGCCUUCAUUUGCACUAAUGGGGUUGGCUUUGGCAGUGACAGCGCCCUCCUCAGCAUAAAAUUUUUGGAUUCAUUGUUGUAUACUGUAAGAUUUCUAGCCUCAAUAUAAAUGAUUUAACAAUUAGUGAAUUGAAGCUAAAGUUGUCACCCCCCCCCCCCUCCCCAUAGCAAACACUCCCUCCCCCCGUCACCACCACCAUAAAGGACAAUAAUAAUACUGUAUCACAAUGUUUAUCCUGGUUGUUAUGACAACAGAAAAAAAUUAUAUAGCCCAACCCUACUAGCCACAUUCAUACAUUUGUUUUGGAUGCCAAAAUUUUGUGAGUAGAAGAUCUGAGCCCUGUCAGUAUGAAGUUGAUUUUCCACCGAGGUUGUAUAUGAAUAUGCACAAAGUGAUAGACUUGUAACAAUGGUGAUAUUAUGAAACCUAUGUCUGAUUUUGCAGCAUAACCAUCAGUUUGACCUCCACACACUUUUUAUGCUUUUGCACAGCAUGGAUCAAAUUGCACUAUGCCUGUUUUUGGUUGAGCCUUUUUCUGUGGGCAACAAUGGCCAGCAUCAUAAAGAUCUCACAUACGCACACACUCAUACCUGCAUGUUAUCAUCAGUGAGAAGUUCUCAGGACCCCCAUGAAUUUGCCCUGUGUGUUCAGACUGACUGACAGCUAGGCUGUGUUACGUAUUACAGGGCAGUCUGUUUGGACACUGGUGUUCAGGUCACUGUGAAGUGGGGCAUUUUGGGCCAUCAGGACCUCUUACCUUUAAAUCACGAAGUGUCUCGACGCUCCGAUUACCUUUGCGGAAUGCCAGUGAGCAGGGUUGUGUAAGUUGGUAUUUGGUAGUUGCGGUGGGUAGACAUUUUAAAUUGUGCUGUAAUGUAUGUAUUUUGUGCUUCAUACAUUCCAUUUAUACAUGCCAUGAAGUUAACCAUAUUUUACAAGUGUGGAAUGCUUUUUGCUUUUCUUUCCAAAUACAUAAUUCUGUUGGACCUGAUCAUUGUAAUGUUUAAUUUUACCUGCAAAUGCUCUAUUUUUAUUACCAGAUUUUUUAUGAAGAGAAUGAUUAAUCAGUAUGUGCCAACUGAAAUUGCCUGGAUGUAAUGAUUUAUUUAUUUAUUUUCCCCUCGAGUAGUGCCCCUCCCCCUUUCUCUGUCCUAAGAGGUUAGCAAAUGAAACUUCACUCUAGCUGUGCCAUGGUGCUGAGCAUCUGUACUAAACAUUUACCUUUCUAUCUCUUCCAUUCACCAGCCUUGUAAUCAAGAUUUGUAAAAAAAAAAAAAAAUCUUUUUUUAUAUUUAAAUCUUAACCAAUUUGUUUUAUACACAUUGCCUUUUUUAUUUUAAUUUUCUACUCUUGUACUUAUCAGAAAUGGUUACAAAAAUCUUGCCAAUGUACAAUUGAGCUAUUAAGAGGACAGAGCGAGAUUCCCAACUUCACCUGGCCAAAGGAAGUCAUGUUUGCUGUGGACAGAGAGGGGUGGAGGAGCUACUUGGGUAAUAAACACAAACUUUUAGAGGACUGCUAUUUUUAAACAAGAUGAAUUGUACAAAUCCUCAUGUUUGCCCGAUUAAAACAAUGAUGUCAUUAUGUUGUAUAUUUGCGGCAGCCUUUUUCCAGCAACGUUUUGUAAAAAAAAAAAAAAAAAAAUGGAAAUGACUAAAAAAAAAAACAAAAAAAAGGUGAUCUGCUCUGAAUGCUCUGCUCACAUCAUACAAGAGCAGAGGUAGUGUGCUGCAGUGGAACCUGGACCGUUCCAAACCGGCUCUGCACCCCUGAUACGGGAUACUACCCCAUGACCCGCUGUCUGACUCUAAAUGCAUCUGAAUGUAUCUCUUUAAGACCAGUCAAUUCACAAUCAUUUUGUAAUAAAAGGAAAUGGUACACAA